CGAACGUCGCUUCGGCGGCUAUUAGCGUGGCGGAAGGGCGAGUAACACGUGGGUAACCUGCCCUCGAGAUGGGGACAACCUCGGGAAACUGAGGCUAAUACCGAAUGAUAUGCCAUGGUCGCAUGACCGCGGCAUCAAAGGCGGGGACCCGCUUCGGCGGGCCUGUCGCUCGAGGAGGGGCUCACGGCCUAUCAGCUUGUUGGUGAGGUAACGGCUCACCAAGGCCGAGACGGGUAGCCGACCUGAGAGGGUCGUCGGCCGCACUGGGACUGAGACACUGCCCAGACUCCUACGGGAGGCAGCAGAGGAGAAUCAUUCGCAAUGGGCGAAAGCCUGACGGUGCGACGCCGCGUGAGGGAUGAAGGCCCUAGGGUUGUAAACCUCUGUCGGGGGUUAAGAACGCCGGGGGCGCUAAUAUCGCCUCCGGGUGACUAGCUCCAAAGGAAGUUCCGGCUAACUACGUGCCAGCAGCCGCGGUAAUACGUAGGGAGCAAGCGUUACUCGGAAUUACUGGGCAUAAAGGGCGUGUAGGCGGGUGCGUGAGUCCGAUGUGAAAGCCCCCGGCUCAACCGGGGAAUGCCAUCGGAUACUGCGUGCCUAGAGUUCGGGAGGGGAGAGUGGAACUCUUGGUGGAACGGUGAAAUGCGUAGAUAUCAAGAGGAACGCCGGUGGCGAAAGCGGCU
rnacentral:rRNA from 1 species